GACGAACGCUGGCGGCGUGCUUAACACAUGCAAGUCGAACGAUGAACUUGGAGCUUGCUCUGGGGGAUUAGUGGCGAACGGGUGAGUAACACGUGAGUAACCUGCCCUGGACUCUGGGAUAACUUCGAGAAAUCGGAGCUAAUACCGGAUAGGACCUUGCACCGCAUGGUGUGGGGUGGAAAGUUUUUCGGUUUGGGAUGGACUCGCGGCCUAUCAGCUUGUUGGUGAGGUAAUGGCUCACCAAGGCGUCGACGGGUAGCCGGCCUGAGAGGGUGACCGGCCACACUGGGACUGAGACACGGCCCAGACUCCUACGGGAGGCAGCAGUGGGGAAUAUUGCACAAUGGGCGCAAGCCUGAUGCAGCAACGCCGCGUGCGGGAUGACGGCCUUCGGGUUGUAAACCGCUUUUAGUAGGGAAGAAGCCUUCGGGUGACGGUACCUGCAGAAAAAGGACCGGCUAACUACGUGCCAGCAGCCGCGGUAAUACGUAGGGUCCGAGCGUUGUCCGGAAUUAUUGGGCGUAAAGAGCUCGUAGGCGGUUUGUCGCGUCUGCUGUGAAAACUAGAGGCUCAACCUCUAGCCUGCAGUGGGUACGGGCAGACUUGAGUGGUGUAGGGGAGACUGGAAUUCCUGGUGUAGCGGUGGAAUGCGCAGAUAUCAGGAGGAACACCGAUGGCGAAGGCAGGUCUCUGGGCACUUACUGACGCUGAGGAGCGAAAGCGUGGGGAGCGAACAGG
rnacentral:rRNA from 1 species